AUUGAACGCUGGCGGCAGGCAUAACACAUGCAAGUCGAGCGAGCGGCGGACGGGUGAGUAAUGUCUGGGAAACUGCCUGCUGGAGGGGGAUAACUACUGGAAACGGUAGCUAAUACCGCAUACCAUCAGAUGUGCCCAGAGGGGAUUAGCUAGUAGGUGGGGUAACGGCUCACCUAGGCGACGAUCCCUAGCUGGUCUGAGAGGAUGACCAGCCACACUGGAACGUAUACACGGUCCAGCCGCCUACGGGAGGCAUCAGUGGGGAAUAUUGCACAAUGGGCGCAAGCCUGAUGCAGCCAUGCCGCGUGUGUGAAGAAGGCCUUCGGGUUGUAAAGCACUUUCAGCGGGGAGGCGUUACCCGCAGAAGAAGCACCGGCUAACUCCGGGCCAGCCGCCGCGGUAAUAC
rnacentral:rRNA from 1 species